rnacentral:rRNA from 1 species
UACGUAGGGGGCAAGCGUUGGUCCGGAAUCAUUGGGCGUAAAGAGCGUGUAGGCGGUCCGAUAAGUCCGCUCUGAAAGCCCGGGGCUCAACCCCGGGAGGCGGGCGGAUACUGUCGGGCUAGAGUCCGGAAGAGGCAAGUGGAAUUCCUGGUGUAGCGGUGAAAUGCGCAGAUAUCAGGAGGAACACCGAUGGCGAAGGCAGCUUGCUGGGACGGUACUGGACGCUGAGACGCGAAAGCGUGGGGAGCAAACAGG